GCCGCGGUGGUGAAACCGGUAAACACGCUAGUUUCAGGGACUAGUGGGAGCAAUCCCUUGAGAGUUCAAGUCUCUCCCGCGGCA
rnacentral:tRNA from 1 species